ACGAAGGUGGCUAGCGUUAUUCGGAUUUACUGGGCAUAAAGCGCACGUAGGCGGCCUUGUAAGUCGGAGGUGAAAGCCCGCAGCUCAACUGCGGAACUGCCCCCGAUACUGCUUGGCUUGAGUGCAGGAGGGGUGACUGGAACUCCAGGUGUAGCGGUGAAAUGCGUAGAUAUCUGGAGGAACACCAGAGGCGAAGGCGGGUCACUGGACUGCAACUGACGCUGAGGUGCGAAAGCUAGGGGAGCGAACAGG
rnacentral:rRNA from 1 species